rnacentral:lncRNA from 1 species
CCCGUUCAUGCCCUUUCGCCCGUUUGUCCACCCAAAUAGGCACAAAGAAUUAAAAAAACCACACUUGGAUGAUCCCCAACCUCCCUGGUAUGCCCCGGUCAAUUUUUGGCACACAGCACGCUCAGACCCCGGGCCUACCCCCGAGACCGUAGGGUAUAGCAUACCGAUUUUGCCUGAAAAUGCCCUGCUGGCUCCUUUAUGCUUAUUU